rnacentral:rRNA from 1 species
GUUAUAUGGUCAAGUGAAGAAGCGCAUACGGUGGAUGCCUUGGCAGUCAGAGGCGAUGAAAGACGUGGUAGCCUGCGAAAAGCUUCGGGGAGUCGGCAAACAGACUGUGAUCCGGAGAUGUCUGAAUGGGGGAACCCAGCCAUCAUAAGAUGGUUAUCUUACACUGAAUACAUAGGUGUAAGAGGCGAACCAGGGGAACUGAAACAUCUAAGUACCCUGAGGAAAAGAAAUCAACCGAGAUUCCCUUAGUAGUGGCGAGCGAACGGGGACCAGCCCUUAAGUUGUAUUGAGAUUAGCGGAACGUUCUGGAAAGGACGGCCAUAGUGGGUGAUAGCCCUGUACGCGAAAAUCCCUUUGCAAUGAAAUCGAGUAGGACGGGGCACGAGAAACCUUGUCUGAAUAUGGGGGGACCAUCCUCCAAGGCUAAAUACUACUGACUGACCGAUAGUGAACCAGUACCGUGAGGGAAAGGCGAAAAGAACCGCGGAGAGCGGAGUGAAAUAGAUCCUGAAACCGUAUGCGUACAAGCAGUGGGAGCCCACUUUGUUGGGUGACUGCGUACCUUUUGUAUAAUGGGUCAGCGACUUAUUUUCAGUGGCGAGCUUAACCGAAUAGGGGAGGCGUAGCGAAAGCGAGUCUUAAUAGGGCGUCUAGUCGCUGGGAAUAGACCCGAAACCGGGCGAUCUAUCCAUGGGCAGGUUGAAGGUUGGGUAACACUAACUGGAGGACCGAACCGACUACCGUUGAAAAGUUAGCGGAUGACCUGUGGAUCGGAGUGAAAGGCUAAUCAAGCUCGGAGAUAGCUGGUUCUCCUCGAAAGCUAUUUAGGUAGCGCCUCAUGUAUCACUGUAGGGGGUAGAGCACUGUUUCGGCUAGGGGGUCAUCCCGACUUACCAAACCGAUGCAAACUCCGAAUACCUACAAGUGCCGAGCAUGGGAGACACACGGCGGGUGCUAACGUCCGUCGUGAAAAGGGAAACAACCCAGACCGUCAGCUAAGGUCCCAAAGUCAUGGUUAAGUGGGAAACGAUGUGGGAAGGCUUAGACAGCUAGGAGGUUGGCUUAGAAGCAGCCACCCUUUAAAGAAAGCGUAAUAGCUCACUAGUCGAGUCGGCCUGCGCGGAAGAUGUAACGGGGCUCAAACCAUGCACCGAAGCUACGGGUAUCAUCUUUUGAUGAUGCGGUAGAGGAGCGUUCUGUAAGCCUGUGAAGGUGAGUUGAGAAGCUUGCUGGAGGUAUCAGAAGUGCGAAUGCUGACAUGAGUAACGACAAUGGGUGUGAAAAACACCCACGCCGAAAGACCAAGGUUUCCUGCGCAACGUUAAUCGACGCAGGGUUAGUCGGUCCCUAAGGCGAGGCUGAAAAGCGUAGUCGAUGGAAAACAGGUUAAUAUUCCUGUACUUCUGGUUAUUGCGAUGGAGGGACGGAGAAGGCUAGGCCAGCCUGGCGUUGGUAGUCCAGGUUUAAGGUGGUAGGCUGAGAUCUUAGGUAAAUCCGGGAUCUUAAGGCCGAGAGCUGAUGACGAGUGUUCUUUUAGAACAUGAAGUGGUUGAUGCCAUGCUUCCAAGAAAAGCUUCUAAGCUUCAGGUAACCAGGAACCGUACCCCAAACCGACACAGGUGGUUGGGUAGAGAAUACCAAGGCGCUUGAGAGAACUCGGGUGAAGGAACUAGGCAAAAUGGCACCGUAACUUCGGGAGAAGGUGCGCCGGUGAGGGUGAAGCAUUUACUGCGUAAGCCCACGCCGGUCGAAGAUACCAGGCCGCUGCGACUGUUUAUUAAAAACACAGCACUCUGCAAACACGAAAGUGGACGUAUAGGGUGUGACGCCUGCCCGGUGCCGGAAGGUUAAUUGAUGGGGUUAGCGCAAGCGAAGCUCUUGAUCGAAGCCCCGGUAAACGGCGGCCGUAACUAUAACGGUCCUAAGGUAGCGAAAUUCCUUGUCGGGUAAGUUCCGACCUGCACGAAUGGCGUAACGAUGGCGGCGCUGUCUCCACCCGAGACUCAGUGAAAUUGAAAUCGCUGUGAAGAUGCAGUGUAUCCGCGGCUAGACGGAAAGACCCCGUGAACCUUUACUAUAGCUUUGCACUGGACUUUGAAUUUGCUUGUGUAGGAUAGGUGGGAGGCUUUGAAGCGUGGACGCCAGUCUGCGUGGAGCCAACCUUGAAAUACCACCCUGGCAACUUUGAGGUUCUAACUCAGGUCCGUUAUCCGGAUCGAGGACAGUGUAUGGUGGGUAGUUUGACUGGGGCGGUCUCCUCCUAAAGAGUAACGGAGGAGUACGAAGGUGCGCUCAGACCGGUCGGAAAUCGGUCGUAGAGUAUAAAGGCAAAAGCGCGCUUGACUGCGAGACAGACACGUCGAGCAGGUACGAAAGUAGGUCUUAGUGAUCCGGUGGUUCUGUAUGGAAGGGCCAUCGCUCAACGGAUAAAAGGUACUCCGGGGAUAACAGGCUGAUACCGCCCAAGAGUUCAUAUCGACGGCGGUGUUUGGCACCUCGAUGUCGGCUCAUCACAUCCUGGGGCUGAAGCCGGUCCCAAGGGUAUGGCUGUUCGCCAUUUAAAGUGGUACGCGAGCUGGGUUUAGAACGUCGUGAGACAGUUCGGUCCCUAUCUGCCGUGGACGUUUGAGAUUUGAGAGGGGCUGCUCCUAGUACGAGAGGACCGGAGUGGACGAACCUCUGGUGUUCCGGUUGUCACGCCAGUGGCAUUGCCGGGUAGCUAUGUUCGGAAAAGAUAACCGCUGAAAGCAUCUAAGCGGGAAACUUGCCUCAAGAUGAGAUCUCACUGGAACCUUGAGUUCCCUAAAGGGCCGUCGAAGACUACGACGUUGAUAGGUUGGGUGUGUAAGCGCUGUGAGGCGUUGAGCUAACCAAUACUAAUUGCCCGUGAGGCUUGACCAUAUAACACCCAAGCAAUU